UACGUAGGUGGCAAGCGUUGUCCGGAUUUACUGGGCGUAAAGGGCGUGCAGGCGGUCUACUAAGUCUAGGGUGAAAGCUCCCGGCUCAACUGGGAGAGGUCCUUGGAUACUGGUGGACUUGAGGGAUGCAGAGGAAAGUGGAAUUCCUGGUGUAGCGGUGAAAAUGCGCAGAUAUCAGGAGGAACACCGGUGGCGAAGGCGGGUCUCUGGGC
rnacentral:rRNA from 1 species